AUGGCUCAGGAUGAACGCUAGCGGCAGGCUUAAUACAUGCAAGGUCGUGGGGCAGCAGGUUUGUAGCAAUACAGAUGCUGGCGACCGGCAAACGGGUGCGGAACACGUACAGAACCUUCCUUGAGCGGGGAAUAGCCCAGAGAAAUUUGGAUUAAUACCCCAUAGUAUAAUGAAGUGGCAUCACUUUAUUAUUAAAGAUUUAUCACUCGAAGAUGGCUGUGCGGCUGAUUAGGUAGUUGGCGGGGUAAAGGCCCACCAAGCCUGCGAUCAGUAACUGGUGUGAGAGCACGACCAGUCACACGGGCACUGAGACACGGGCCCGACUCCUACGGGAGGCAGCAGUAAGGAAUAUUGGUCAAUGGAGGCAACUCUGAACCAGCCAUGCCGCGUGGAGGAUGAGGGUCCUCUGGAUUGUAAACUUCUUUUAUAUGGGACGAAAAAAGGCUUUUCUAAGUCGUCUGACGGUACCAUAUGAAUAAGCACCGGCUAACUCCGUG
rnacentral:rRNA from 1 species